GGCAGGGACCGCAUGUGCACCAACCUUGGUCCUGCAACACAGUAAUCAAUUGCGGGGGCGUAGUCGUCCGACCCGGCGACGCGAUCAUCGGUGACCAAGAUGGCGCCGUCGUGAUUCCUGCGUCCCAUGCCCAGCAGGUUUAUGACAUCGCUCACAGCAGAGAAGUGAUCGAGGAAAUCGUAAAGGAGGAACUUACCAAGAAUCCUGGACCCCCUGGCAAGUUUUACCCCUUCAUGUCUGGCAAAAUAAAACCAAACUCUCCUCUCGGUCAACUUCUAACUUCCAAAGGAGUCAAGUUCGUACACUGUGCAGCUCGCCCCGGAACGCGACUGGGCGUUCCAAC
rnacentral:lncRNA from 1 species